GAGGGUAUAGCUCAAUGGUAGAGUGCAUGCUUAGCAUGCACAAGGUCCUGGGUUCAAUCCCCAGUACCUCCA
rnacentral:tRNA from 1 species